UACGGGGGGGGCAAGCGUUGUUCGGAAUUACUGGGCGUAAAGGGUUCGUAGGUGGCCAACUAAGUCAGACGUGAAAUCCCUCAGCUUAACUGGGGAACUGCGUCUGAUACUGGUUGGCUUGAGUGCAGGAGAGGAAUGCGGAAUUCCAGGUGUAGCGGUGAAAUGCGUAGAUAUCUGGAGGAACACCGGUGGCGAAGGCGGCUUUCUGGACACUUACUGACGCUGAGACGCGAAAGCGUGGGGAGCAAACAGG
rnacentral:rRNA from 1 species